GCCGGGAUGGCGGAACAGGCAGACGCAAGGGACUUAAAAUCCCUCGGUAGCAAUAUCGUAUCGGUUCAAGUCCGAUUCUCGGCA
rnacentral:tRNA from 1 species